AUUGAACGCUGGCGGCAGGCCUAACACAUGCAAGUCGAGCGGAUGACGGGAGCUUGCUCCUUGAUUCAGCGGCGGACGGGUGAGUAAUGCCUAGGAAUCUGCCUGGUAGUGGGGGACAACGUUUCGAAAGGAACGCUAAUACCGCAUACGUCCUACGGGAGAAAGCAGGGGACCUUCGGGCCUUGCGCUAUCAGAUGAGCCUAGGUCGGAUUAGCUAGUAGGUGAGGUAAUGGCUCACCUAGGCGACGAUCCGUAACUGGUCUGAGAGGAUGAUCAGUCACACUGGAACUGAGACACGGUCCAGACUCCUACGGGAGGCAGCAGUGGGGAAUAUUGGACAAUGGGCGAAAGCCUGAUCCAGCCAUGCCGCGUGUGUGAAGAAGGUCUUCGGAUUGUAAAGCACUUUAAGUUGGGAGGAAGGGCAGUAAGUUAAUACCUUGCUGUUUUGACGUUACCGACAGAAUAAGCACCGGCUAACUCUGUGUCAGCCGCCGCAGUAA
rnacentral:rRNA from 1 species